rnacentral:rRNA from 1 species
AGGGCACCACCAGGAGUGGAGCCUGCGGCUUAAUUUGACUCAACACGGGAAAACUCACCCGGCCCGGACACCGUAAGGAUUGACAGACUGAGAGCUCUUUCUUAAUUCGGUGGGUGGUGGUGCAUGGCCGUUCUUAGUUGGUGGAGCGAUUUGUCUGGUUAAUUCCGAUAACGAACGAGACUCUGGCCUAUUAAAUAGACGAUAUAUUUAAAAGUAUAUCGCGCUUCUUAGAGGGACAAGCGGCGUCUAGCCGCAUGAAAUAGAGCAAUAACAGGUCUGUGAUGCCCUUAGAUGUCCGGGGCUGCACGCGCGCUACACUGAAAGAAUCAGUGUGCGUUACGCCUAGUUCGGAAGAACCGGGUAACCCAAGUAAAUUCUUUCGUGCUUGGGAUAGGGAAUUGCAAUUAUUUCCCUUAAACGAGGAAUUCCCAGUAAAUGCGGGUCAUAAGCUCGUGUUGAUUACGUCCCUGCCCUUUGUACACACCGCCCGUCGCUACUACCGAUUGGAUGACUUAGUGA